rnacentral:tRNA from 1 species
GCCGGGGUGAUGGAAUUUGGUAGACAUAGCGGACUUAAAAUCCGCUUCUCUGAACAAGGGAGUGCCGGUUCGAGUCCGGCCCUCGGCA